rnacentral:rRNA from 1 species
UACCUGGUUGAUCCUGCCAGUAGUCAUAUGCUUGUCUUAAAGAUUAAGCCAUGCAUGUCUAAGUAUAAGCAUUUAUACCGCGAGACUGCGAACGGCUCAUUAAAACAGUUAUGGUUUAUUUGAUGGUUCCUUUGCUACUUGGAUAACCGUAGUAAUUCUAGAGCUAAUACAUGCACGAAGGGGCGACUCACGAAGCCCUGUAUUUAUUAGAUUAAAGCCAACCACCUCCGGGUGUUCGUGGUGAAUCAUAGUAACUUCUCGGAUCGGAUGUCUUCGCGACGCCGACAGAUCAUUCAAAUUUCUGCCCUAUCAGCUUUCGAUGGUACGGUAGUGGCCUACCAUGGCGGUGACGGGUGACGGAGAAUUAGGGUUCGAUUCCGGAGAGGGAGCCUGAGAAACGGCUACCACAUCUAAGGAAGGCAGCAGGCGCGUAAAUUACCCAAUCCUGACGCAGGGAGGUAGUGACAAGAAAUAUCAAUAGAUUGAACACAGUUCUGUCUAAUUGGAAUGAGUACAUUCUAAACCCCUUAACGAGAACCAAUUGGAGGGCAAGUCUGGUGCCAGCAGCCGCGGUAAUUCCAGCUCCCAUAGCGUAUACUAAAGUUGUUGCAGUUAAAAGCUCGUAGUUGGAUUUCUGUGCACCGGUUGUUGGUCCGUCUCUAUGAGGUGGUACCUUCACCGUUGUACAUCCUGUUGGCAGACACGUGCUGGCAUUCAUUUGUCGGUGCGGGGAGACCACUCGUUUACUUUGAGAAAAUUAAAGUGUUCAAAGCAGGCAAUCGCUUGAAUACAUUAGCAUGGAAUAAUAGUAUAGGACUUUGAUCUUAUUUGUUGGUUUUAAAGAUCAAAGUAAUGAUUGAUAGGGACAGUUGGGGGCAUCAGUAUUCUGAAGCGAGAGGUGAAAUUCUUGGACCUUCGGAAGACUAACAACUGCGAAAGCAUUUGCCAAGGAUGUUCUCUUUAAUCAAGAACGAAAGUUAGGGGAUCGAAGACGAUCAGAUACCGUCGUAGUCUUAACUAUAAACUAUGCCAGCUAGGGAUCGGUGAACGUUGUUUCGACUUCAUCAGCACCUUAUGAGAAAUCAAAGCAUUUGGGUUCCGGGGGGAGUAUGGUCGCAAGGCUGAAACUUAAAGGAAUUGACGGGAGGGCACCACCAGGGAGUGGAGCCUGUGGCUUAAUUUGACUCAACACGGGAAAACUUUACCAGGUCCGGACAUAGUAAGGAUUGACAGACUGAAGGUCUUUUCUUGAUUUCUAUGGGUGGUGGGUGCAUGGCCGUUCUUAGUUGGUGGAGUGAUUUGUCUGGUUAAUUCCGUUAACGAACGAGACCCUAGCCUGCUAAAUAGGUGGUUCCAUUAUGAUGGGAUCUUCUUCUUAGAGGGACUAUUGAGUGUCUAACCAAUGGAAGUUUGGGGCAAUAACAGGUCUGUGAUGCCCUUAGAUGUUCUGGGCCGCACACGGGCUACACUGCGGGGUUCAACGAGUAUAUACCCUGCGUAGAAAUGCGUAGGAAACCUUAUGAAAACCCCGCGUGCUUGGGAUAGACUAUUGCAAUUAUUAGUCUUCAACGAGGAAUUCCUAGUAAACGCAAGUCAUCAGCUUGCAUUGAUUACGUCCCUGCCCUUUGUACACACCGCCCGUCGCUCCUACCGAUUGGAUGAAUCGAUGAGCCUUUUGGAGAAUUCCAGAUGAACCCAUGUGGUACUGACGGUUUCGAAGUUAUGCAAAUCACUUCAUCUAGAGGAAGGAGAAGUCGUAACAAGGUUUCCGUAGGUGAACCUGCAGAAGGAUC